rnacentral:rRNA from 1 species
GAUCUGUCUGCUUUAUUGCGAUAACCGAGCGAGACCCACGCCUGCUAACUAGUCCGUGCAUUGCCAUUGUGCACGCCGACUUCUUAGAGGGAUUCGCGGUGUUCAGCCGUUUGAAAGUGGGCAAUAACAGGUCUGUGAUGCCCUUAGAUGUCCGGGGCUGCACGCGGGCUACACUGGCAAAACCAGCGUGCCUGUCCUGCCUCGAAGGAGGUGGGUAAACCCGGCAAAAUUUGCCGUGAUUGGGAUCGGAGAUUGCAAUUAUUUUCCGUGAACGAGGAAUUCCAAGUAAGUGCGAGUCAUCAGCUCGCGUUGAUUACGUCCCUGCCCUUUGUA